rnacentral:rRNA from 1 species
AGCAGCCGCGGUAAUUCCAGCUCCAAUAGCGUAUAUUAAAGUUGCUGCAGUUAAAAAGCCGUAGUUGAAUUUCGGGACUAAUAUGUCGGUCGUGCCUCGGUACGUACUGGCUUAUUGGUUCUCCUUUCUGAAGAACCAUGAUGUCAUUUAUUUGGUGUCGUGGGGAAUCAGGACUGUACUUUGAAAAAAUUAGAGUGUUUAAAGCAGGCUCAC